CAGUAGCCACGGUAAUACGUAGGGUGCAAGCGUUAAUCGGAAUUACUGGGCGUAAAGCGUGCGCAGGCGGUUAUAUAAGACAGAUGUGAAAUCCCCGGGCUCAACCUGGGAACUGCAUUUGUGACUGUAUAGCUAGAGUACGGCAGAGGGGGAUGGAAUUCCGCGUGUAGCAGUGAAAUGCGUAGAUAUGCGGAGGAACACCGAUGGCGAAGGCAAUCCCCUGGGCCUGUACUGACGCUCAUGCACGAAAGCGUGGGGAGCAAACAGGAUUAGAUACCCCUGUAGUCCCUGUCUCUUAUAC
rnacentral:rRNA from 1 species